rnacentral:rRNA from 1 species
UACGUAGGGGGCCAGCGUUGUUCGGAAUUACUGGGUGUAAAGGGUUCGUAGGCGGUGCGGCAAGUUGGGAGUGAAAUCUCUGGGCUUAACCCAGAGACGGCUUCCAAAACUGCUGUGCUUGAGGUUGGGAGAGGGAUGCGGAAUUCCAGGUGUAGCGGUGAAAUGCGUAGAUAUCUGGAGGAACACCGGUGGCGAAGGCGGCAUCCUGGACCAAUUCUGACACUGAGGAGCGAAAGCCAGGGGAGCAAACGGG